rnacentral:rRNA from 1 species
CCUUCCUCUCUUUUCCUUGCCGACGAAGCAUCCUCCUCGCGGGUUCUCAUGAGUCUCGUCCCCCAACAAAUCGAUUGAAAUUAGAAAAUCAAUUAAGAAUACCCGUAAAUUACCAAACACGCGCUGCCACCGACCGAUCGAGCCACCGACCCCCAGAAGUUCCAACCAAAUUCCCCGUCGACAACAGCAGCGGAGGGGCUCCCAGAUCUCGCCGCCGCGGGCACCGGCGAACGAGAUGUCGCUCAACAUGAAGACGCUGCAGCAGGCGCUGGCCAAGGCGUCGGCGGUGAUCGAGAAGACGGUGACCACCACGGUGCAGGAGGUCACGGGCCCGCGGCCGCUGCAGGACUACGAGCUGCUCGACCAGGCGGGCUCGGGCGGCCCGGGGCUCGCGUGGCGGAUCUACACGGCGCGGCCGCGGGACGCGGCGGCAUCCACGCCGUACCCCGUCGUCUCCGUUUGGGUGCUCGACAAGCGAGCGCUCUCCGAGGCGCGGGCGCGGGCCGGGCUCUCCAGGGCGGCGGAGGACGCGUUCCUCGACCUCGCACGCGCUGACGCCGCGCGCCUCGUGCGGCUGCGUCAUCCGGGUGUGCUCCACGUCGUGCAGGCGCUGGACGAGACCAAGGCCGCCAUGGCCAUGGUCACUGAGCCGCUCUUCGCCUCCGUCUCCAAUGCGCUCGGGUGCCUCGACAACGUGGGCAAGGUGCCCAAGGAGCUCAAGGGCAUGGAAAUGGGGAUACUGGAGAUUAAACAUGGAUUGCUACAAGUUGCAGAGACGUUGGAUUUUCUCCAUAACAAUGCCCAUCUUGCACAUCGAGCUAUAUCACCUGAGACAGUCUUUAUAACUUCAAGUGGAUCUUGGAAGCUUGGAGGUUUUGGUUUUGCUCUUUCUGUUGACCAAGCCACAGGUGGUUUGGCAUCAUCGCAGCAAUUCCAUUAUUCGGACUAUGAUGUCGAAGACACAGCUUUACCUCUUCAACCAUCUCUGAACUAUACUGCACCAGAAUUGGUUCGCAGUGGUGAUUCUAAAGUAGGCUCUACCUGUGACAUAUUCAGUUUUGGAUGCCUGGCUUACCACUUAGUUGCUCAUAGACCACUUCUGGAUUGCCAUAACAAUGUGAAAAUGUAUAUGAAUUCAUUGACAUAUUUAACAAGUGAAGCCUUUUCUAAUAUUCCUACUGAUCUGGUGGCUGAUUUGCGAAAUAUGCUAUCAGUUGAUGCAGCAUCACGCCCUAGUGCGAUGGCCUUCACAGGCUCUUCUUUCUUCCGGCAUGAUACAAGGUUGCGAGCUCUUCGUUUCCUUGACCAUUUGCUUGAGAGAGAUAAUAUGCAGAAGACAGAAUUUCUGAAAGCAUUAUCGGAUAUGUGGAAAGACUUUGAUUCCCGAGUUCUUCGAUAUAAAGUUCUUCCACCUCUUUGUGCCGAGCUACGCAACAUGGUCAUGCAGCAAAUGAUUUUGCCCAUGGUUCUGACAAUAGCAGAAUCACAGGAUAAAGAUGACUUUGAGCUGUCAACAUUGCCUGCUCUUGUUCCAGUAUUUACUUCAGCAUCAGGUGAAACUCUUCUUUUGCUUGUGAAGCGUGCCGAUCUCAUUAUUAGCAAGGCCACAAACGAACAUUUGAUAUCACAUAUCCUUCCUAUGCUGGUACGGGCUUAUGAUGAUACUGAUCCCCGUCUGCAGGAAGAAGUUUUGCGACGAACAGUAACACUGUCUCGACAACUUGACAUGAAGCUACUGAAACAGUCUGUGCUGCCACGCGUGCAUGGAUUAGCUUUGAAAACUACAGUUGCUGCGGUGCGAGUAAAUGCUUUGCGCUGUUUAGGAGAUCUUGUUCCAUCGUUGGAUAAAACAGGUAUAGUAGAGAUCUUGCAGACUCUUCGGCGUUGCACAGCUGUUGACCAUUCUGCCCCAACCCUUAUGUGCACCCUUGGAGUUGCUAAUGCGAUUUAUAAACAGUGUGGUGUUGAGUUUGCUGCGGAACAUGUGGUUCCUCUAGUCUUCCCAUUGCUCACGGCACAACAACUGAAUGUACAGCAAUUUGCGAAGUAUAUCCUAUUUGUCAAGGAUAUCACAAGCAAGAUUGAAGAGAAGCGUGGCGUGACAGUUACGGAUAAUGGGCAUACAGAGGUAAAAGUAUCGCCUUCAAUCUCAAAUGGGAUUCAUUCUAAGCCAACUUCAGGAGGCCUGGGACAGACUGGACAAAUGCCAGCUGCAAAGAGCACUUCUUGGGAUGAAGACUGGGGCCCUACUAAGAAAACCAGUGCCCCGCCACUCUCUUUUGAUUCUAGUGCUCAAACAAAGCAACCCUCAAAAGACCCUUUUGAUUUCAGUACCCAAACAAACCAACCCUCAACACUUCUCUUCGAUCUUAGUACUCAAACGAAGCAGCCAUCGACAGUUACUCAGGUUGCAGCGUCUACAAUCCCGUCUGCACAACCACUUCCAUCUCUGCAAUCUCUUGCACCUAGUUCAGGGCAUCAAACUUCCGGUUCAUGUGUUCCUGUUGACAUUGAGUGGCCUCCUAGAAUGAGCACAUCAUCUGACUUUAAUGCACCAUUCUCAGCUAACAAGGAUAGUAAAUCUGGAGGGCUGUCUAAUGAUGGGGUUGAUGAUGUUGAUCCUUUUGCCGACUGGCCCCCCAAACCAAGCAGCGCAGCCAGCAUUUCAGCAGUGGAGCGCCUGCCAAGCACAAAUCAAAGUAUUUCUGGGUUGAAUACAGGGAACAUGGGGUUUGGUGGUAGCAGUACUUCGCUUGGACAACUGAAAACAAACCAGGUGAGCUGGUCAGCGAAACCAAACAAUACAAAUAUAAUGGGCAUGAGUUCAACUGCCAGCUAUUUGAACCAAGGCAACUCAUCUCUGGGAUAUGGAAAUCCAAUUGGAGGACCGAGCUCAGGUCUCCCCAAUGCAGCUAGUUCCAUUGGAGGCCAGAGCAUCAGGCAACCAAAAUCUGAUUUUGGUUCACUAUCACAGUUAUCCAGUGGCGCACAGGGCCCACCCAGGCUUGCCCCUCCUCCAUCUGCUGCUGUUGGAAGAGGGCGUGGUAGAAAUCAAGGGCAGUCAGCCCUCUCCCGAGCAUCACGGACUCCCAAUUCCAAUGUUUCAUCAGAGCAGCCACCUUUUCUUGAUUUACUGUAGCAAAUACAGGAGUGUCCAUGUUCUUCGUUCUGCAAACGGCACUGGAUAGCUCACAUCGUUCAAGCCUUGUAUAUGAUGAGCAUUACACUUUCCUGAAACAUGGUUGCAGGCGAUAGUGCAUUUUCUUGUCAGUGGAAACUGGGUUGCCUUUGUUGUUAGCCCCAAGGAAGCUGCUUCAGGAAAGAGCCUUCCUGAGGUUAGAGAAUGUAUUCUUGCUUAGGGUUUUCUCGAUUUCAGCAUCAUUGGGGUGGUGAGGCAGCAUUAAUUUUAUUUGUGUAUAUCUUUGUCCAGGCUCUGCUGUAAUGUCUAGAGUUCACAAAUGGUUGUGGUGAUGUGAAAUUUUGAAUGUUGAGAAUGUAUCACCAAAAUCUGAUGGGCCUCGUGAAAGUGGAAACCCUACAUGAUGUAUUCAUUUAAGCCGGGAAGGGCCCAUGUCGUGUAAUUGCCAAAUUUGGGCCCAUCUGUACCUCUGCCUGAAAAAUGUGGGUGGAAACACUUGUUAAAUGCUCCACUAGUUUCUUGUAUUGUGAUUAUUACUGUCGAAGUGAAUAUGCUUAUUUUUGCACAUUGCCAUCAAAGUGAACAUGCUUAUUU